GAUGAACGCUGGCGGCGUGCCUAAUACAUGCAAGUCGAGCGAAUGGAUUAAGAGCUUGCUCUUAUGAAGUUAGCGGCGGACGGGUGAGUAACACGUGGGUAACCUGCCCAUAAGACUGGGAUAACUCCGGGAAACCGGGGCUAAUACCGGAUAACAUUUUGAACCGCAUGGUUCGAAAUUGAAAGGCGGCUUCGGCUGUCACUUAUGGAAGGACCCGCGUCGCAUUAGCUAGUUGGUGAGGUAACGGCUCACCAAGGCAACGAUGCGUAGCCGACCUGAGAGGGUGAUCGGCCACACUGGGACUGAGACACGGCCCAGACUCCUACGGGAGGCAGCAGUAGGGAUUCUUCCGCAAUGGACGAAAGUCUGACGGAGCAACGCCGCGUGAGUGAUGAAGGCUUUCGGGUCGUAAAACUCUGUUGUUAGGGAAGAACAAGUGCUAGUUGAAUAAGCUGACACCUUGACGGUACCUAACCAGAAAGCCACGGCUAACUACGUGCCAGCCGCCGCCGUAA
rnacentral:rRNA from 1 species